GUACUUUUGUUACAGUGCUCGAGACGCGUUUUGUGAUGACCCAGGAGCUAUUCCACCGGAUUAUGGAUCCUCGCGAGGAGUUCGACGGGGAGAUCUUAGACCUCUGGAAUCUGAAGGCUCUUCGACGGCUUAGAAUCAAUCAGGAGUGGAUAGCUCGGGGGCAGACGAAACUCACUGCAGGUGUGACACGGGCUAGAACGUCGAUAGCUUUUCUGGAAUUUUAUGUAAGUUUUUGGUAGAAUAAUUUGUGUUUAUGUAUAUAAAACUACCUAUAAUUUAAUCAUGAUUUUUUUUGUGAUUGUAGGAGACCCUCGUCAGAGAGUUCGCUUCGUUGCAUCCGAAUUUGCCAGAUUGGAACGACAUACGGGAGCGACAUGCAUACGAGGAGUGGGUGGUGCCAGAAAAGCUGAUCUCCAUGUUUUCGUGCAAAAUAUCUUCCUUCGGCUUCAAAACGACGCCCUUGCCUACCAAUUUCCGUGCAAAAUAUCUUCCAACAACCCUCGCCGGAAUCUGUCUCGGGGCAAUGCGAUUCAAAUCCGUGUGGCAGGUAUGAUCCAUCACCACCUUGAUCACUCUCCAGAUCGAUGCACUCUAAACGGCUCGCAGCAUGAACGGACAAUCGUUGUCAUGCUUGCAAACAAACCACAAACGGGUCGUACUGGAACGAUCCACGGCGUACUCCACGUGAUUCUCCAUAUGAUACAGGCCAACAGCGAUCGCUAAAUUAUCCUUCGAUCGAAAUAGAGCCCCCACUGAUAAUAUCCCGCUCUCCAAUACGUUAGAAUCCUCCCAACCUAAUGCCGACGCAUCGUCAAAAUCGAGGACUGAAACCCCCAGUCACGUGCCUCAAGCUGUUGAACUUCGCCACGAGGCUCGAUAUCGGGCUGAUAAUCCGAUGUGAAAUUCUGAGGCCCUGUCUGUCUCCACGCUUCUUGUUCAGUCGACACUGAAUCCAAUAUCUCUCUGCAUAGUAUCGCCUCUUCUUCCUCAUCCGAAGACUCGGACUCGUCUUCCUCCUCCUGCGACGAUGAAUCGUCCC